CUACAAAGGAAAGCACUUUC
rnacentral:miRNA from 1 species